rnacentral:lncRNA from 1 species
AUAUCUCUGUGUUAAUUGCAAAGUAACCAGAAUCUGGCCUUUGUUCUUCCACUUCUAGAUCUCUUGGGGCUGCCUGUAGGUGGAUAUGUUCAUGGAAGAUGGUGAAAAGGACAAGAAUAGGAUUUGCUGUAUAGAAUCACUAUAGUCACCAUCACACUGAGUGUCGACAACAUCUGUUGUUAUCCUUACAACUGUGCAAAAUAGGAAAUGCUCAGAUUUGAUCAGCAGCUGCUUCAGCAAAAAGAAACAAAAGGCAAAACCCCCAAAACAGAAUCAAACAAAAACAGUCCCCAAACAGAAUGAAACAAACACCCUCUUAGAGUGUGGAAAACGGGAAGGUUUUGAGUCCUCAAACAUUCAUGGAUUCCAGGAGAUUCGCCAUCAUGAUUCUCCCAGGUGCCUAAAGGGAACCUGUCUCUCUGUCAGUUUAAAUCACACCUGCUGGAGAUCAGAACAACAGAUGUCCCUCUGCAGAGCAAAGCAGGAGACUUUCAUGCUGUUGGUGACUGCUUGGUGUUCUGCUUCCUGUUCUGGAAGAACAGAGAGAACUGACAUUGAGGCAGCCAGGGGAAGGGCCAUUUGCUUGCUUCUGGAAUAUUUCACAGUGAAAUUUUCCUCUUCCACAAAGAUCAUGGAUGGACGAAUAGGAUUAUGGUGAGAGACACUGAUCAUGGUGAAUAUGUAUUAAUUACUUGCUAUCAUUAUUGGUUAUUAUCAUAGUAUUAUGAGAUUGCUGGGGAGAAGAGAAAUGGGCUUGUAUUUUCUGAAAUUAGACCCAUUUAUUACCCAUUG